GAUGAACGCUGACAGAAUGCUUAACACAUCAGCAAUUGAUUGGUGGCGGACGGGUGAGUAAGGCGUAAAGAACUUGCCUCACAGCUAGGGACAACAUUUAGAAAUGAAUGCUAAUACCUGAUACUGUGAGAGAGCUUUGGGUCCCAUUAGCUAGUUGGAGGGGUAACCGCUCACCAAGGCGAUGAUGGGUAGCCGGCCUGAGAGGGUGAACGGCCACAAGGCGACAGGGACACGGCCCGUACUCCUACGGGAGGCAGCAGUGGGGAAUAUGGGACAAAGGACCGAAGUCUGAUCCAGCAAUUCUGUGGGAAAGAUGAAGUUUUCGGAAUGUAAAUUGCUUUCAGUUGGGAAGCGGUACCAACAGAGGAAGUGACGGCUAAAUACGUGCCAGCAGCCGCGGUAAUUC
rnacentral:rRNA from 1 species